rnacentral:tRNA from 1 species
GCCUCGGUGGUAUAGUGGUCAAGACGCUUGCCUGACGAUCAAGAGGGCGUGGGUUCAAUGCCAGCCGAGGUA